GAUGAACGCUGGCGGCGUGCUUAACACAUGCAAGUCGAACGGGAUCCCGGGGGUUCGCUCCCGGGUGAGAGUGGCGAACGGGUGAGUAAUGCGUGACCGACCUGCCCCAUACACCGGAAUAGCUCCUGGAAACGGGUGGUAAUGCCGGAUGCUCCGGUUGGAUGCAUGUCCUUCCGGGAAAGAUUCCAUCGGUAUGGGAUGGGGUCGCGUCCUAUCAGCUUGAUGGCGGGGUAACGGCCCACCAUGGCUUCGACGGGUAGCCGGCCUGAGAGGGCGACCGGCCACAUUGGGACUGAGAUACGGCCCAGACUCCUACGGGAGGCAGCAGUGGGGAAUAUUGCACAAUGGGCGCAAGCCUGAUGCAGCGACGCCGCGUGCGGGAUGGAGGCCUUCGGGUUGUAAACCGCUUUUGAUCGGGAGCAAGCCCUUCGGGGUGAGUGUACCUUUCGAAUAAGCACCGGCA
rnacentral:rRNA from 1 species